rnacentral:rRNA from 1 species
AUUGAACGCUGGCGGCAGGCUUAACACAUGCAAGUCGAGCGGGGGAAGGUAGCUUGCUACCGGACCUAGCGGCGGACGGGAGAGUAAUGCUUAGGAAUCUGCCUAUUAGUGGGGGACAACAUCUCGAAAGGGAUGCUAAUACCGCAUACGUCCUACGGGAGAAAGCAGGGGAUCUUUGGACCUUGCGCUAAUAGAUGAGCCUAAGUCGGAUUAGCUAGUUGGUGGGGUAAAGGCCUACCAAGGCGACGAUCUGGAGCGGGUCUGAGAGGAUGAUCCGCCACACUGGGACUGAGACACGGCCCAGACUCCUACGGGAGGCAGCAGUGGGGAAUAUUGGACAAUGGGGGGAACCCUGAUCCAGCCAUGCCGCGUGUGUGAAGAAGGCCUUAUGGUUGUAAAGCACUUUAAGCGAGGAGGAGGCUACUUUAGUUAAUACCUAGAGAUAGUGGACGUUACUCGCAGAAUAAGCACCGGCUAACUCUGUGCCAGCAGCCGCGGUAA